rnacentral:rRNA from 1 species
CUACGGGACGCUGCAGUGGGGAAUAUUGCACAAUGGGCGCAAGCCUGAUGCAGCCAUGCCGCGUGUAUGAAGAAGGCCUUCGGGUUGUAAAGUACUUUCAGCGGGGAGGAAGGGAGUAAAGUUAAUACCUUUGCUCAUUGACGUUACCCGCAGAAGAAGCACCGGCUAACUCCGUGCCAGCAGCCGCGUGUAAUACGGAGGGUGCAAGCGUUAAUCGGAAUUACUGGGCGUAAAGCGCACGCAGGCGGUUUGUUAAGUCAGAUGUGAAAUCCCCGGGCUCAACCUGGGAACUGCAUCUGAUACUGGCAAGCUUGAGUCUCGUAGAGGGGGGUAGAAUUCCAGGUGUAGCGGUGAAAUGCGUAGAGAUCUGGAGGAAUACCGGUGGCGAAGGCGGCCCCCUGGACGAAGACUGACGCUCAGGUGCGAAAGCGUGGGGAGCAAACAGGAUUAGAUACCCGCGUAGUC